rnacentral:rRNA from 1 species
UACGAAGGGGGCUAGCGUUGCUCGGAAUCACUGGGCGUAAAGCGCACGUAGGCGGCUUUCUAAGUCAGGGGUGAAAUCCUGGAGCUCAACUCCAGAACUGCCUCUGAUACUGGAGAGCUAGAGUCCGGAAGAGGUGAGUGGAACUGCGAGUGUAGAGGUGAAAUUCGUAGAUAUUCGCAAGAACACCAGUGGCGAAGGCGGCUCACUGGUCCGGUACUGACGCUGAGGUGCGAAAGCGUGGGGAGCAAACAGG